CUAAUACAUGCAAGUCGAGCGAACAGAGAAGGAGCUUGCUCCUUUGACGUUAGCGGCGGACGGGUGAGUAACACGUGGGCAACCUACCUUAUAGUUUGGGAUAACUCCGGGAAACCGGGGCUAAUACCGAAUAAUCUGUUUCACCUCAUGGNGCAAUAUUGAAAGACGGUUUCGGGUGUCGCUAUAGGAUGGGCCCGCGGCGCGUUAGCUAGUUGGUGAGGUAACGGCUCACCAAGGCGACGAUGCGUAGCCGACCUGACAGGGNGAUCGGCCACACUGGGACUGAGACACGGCCCAGACUCCUACGGGAGGCAGCAGUAGGGAAUCUUCCACAAUGGGCGAAAGCCUGAUGGAGCAACGCCGCGUGAGUGAAGAANGAUUUCNNUUCGUAAAACUCUGUUGUAAGGGAAGAACAAGUACAGUAGUAACUGGCUGUACCUUGACGGUACCUUAUUAGAAAGCCACGGCUAACUACGUGCA
rnacentral:rRNA from 1 species